UCCUUCCUGUUAAAAGCACAUGGCUAAAAUUGCAGAACUUUGUUUUCAAUAUCCAGCACUAAUGGCUGGCUCUGGUAUUCUCAGGAAAGAAAAUAAAAUGCACACUCUUCAUGAGAUCAGGCUGGACCUCUUUCUUGAUGACCUCUGUUCUGUUUCAUGGUGUAGUGAAA